UACGUAGGGGGCAAGCGUUGUCCGGAAUCAUUGGGCGUAAAGAGCGCGUAGGCGGCCCUGUAAGUCCGCUGUGAAAGUCAAGGGCUCAACCCUUGGAUGCCGGUGGAUACUGCAGGGCUAGAGUCCGGAAGAGGCGAGUGGAAUUCCUGGUGUAGCGGUGAAAAUGCGCAGAUAUCAGGAGGAACACCCGAUGGCGAAGGCAGCUCGCUGGGACGGUACUGACGCUGAGGAGCGAAAGUGUGGGGAGCGAACAGG
rnacentral:rRNA from 1 species